rfam:Listeria monocytogenes EGD-e, complete genome
GAAACCCUAAUGUAUUCGAUAUAGUUCCUGAUAUUUUUGAACCGAACAAUUUUUUAUACCUAGGGAGCUUGGAGUUCCGGCGCGGCGCACAUGCCUUCACACGAGGAAGUGCAAACCGUUAGACAGAGCACCCACCUGCUUUAAUUGAGAGCGGGUUCAAAGGAAGGGAAUCCUAAACGGUACGAUUGGGGUUUCU